UACAGAGGUCUCAAGCGUUGUUCGGAUUCAUUGGGCGUAAAGGGCGCGUAGGCGGGCAGGCAAGUCCGUGGUGAAAUCCCUGAGCUUAACUCGGGAACUGCCAUGGAUACUAUUUGUCUUGAAUAUUGUGGAGGUAAGCGGAAUAUGUCAUGUAGCGGUGAAAUGCUUAGAUAUGACAUAGAACACCAAUUGCGAAGGCAGCUUACUGGACAGUUAUUGACACUGAGGCGCGAAAGCGUGGGGAGCAAACAGG
rnacentral:rRNA from 1 species